ACUCAGAGUAGGAAGGCAAGCUCUUCAGGCAGGGAGGCCUGGGAGAGAUCCUGAUCAAAACAGUGAAGAGACUGGGAGAUCCAGAGAGGAAGUAAAGAGCCAAGAUAGGAAAUGGCCCAGGCAAAAUCAUGAUACAGGUUUGUCUCUCUACAAAUCAUAAAAGAGCCAGAGACUGACCCAUGCAGCAAAACAUUUUUAUUCAAGCACCAAGACUGUGUUUCCAGAAGAAAUGCUGAAAAAACUAUGAUUCCUGAUGAGGAAUAUUUUUUCUAUUGUCAUUCUAGCUGACCAGUUUGAAACUGGGAAGAAACAACCAUCCAAAGUCAUGGAAAUAACUACAUAUAAUGGACCCAGGCUUUUGACUAAAGUAAUGAUAUUCCCUCAAGAAUAAAUCUGAGGUUUAAGACAAGACAAAGUGUAUCCUGAGAUAGAACGCUUAAGAGUUUAUCUGGCCUAUGUAGAUUUCUUCUCUGAUAGGUCAUAUUAAACAAAGCUGCUGGUUCUUUAGCUUAAAACUGCGUUUUCAGAAAGCAUUGGAUUAGAACAGCAUUUCACAAACUUUUUAAACCUGAGCCCCCACAUAAGGAAAAUGAAACUAAUCUUGCCCCCGUGAACCCUACCAUGUACACAAGCUCCAGAGAUAAAGGAGGCCUAAAGAAAUCACUCUAGCUGAGUCCCAGCCAACUCAAAAGUCCUACAGAGGAAACCGAUCUUUCUUCCUGAAAUGAUUUUAUAUAAAACGUUGGUCUCAUACAAGGCUUCAUACAGGCUGUCACUGAGGGAUCCAUCCAGAGUGAGAAAUCCUCUUCUGAGCAUCUAUAACCACUACUUUAGACUCAAGAAAACAGAACUUUCCACUCCUCUGUCCAUGUGAAUAGCAGAGAAAAGGAGGAAAAGCAGACCUGGGCAUACUGAAGAAUAGCGUUGCCAACUUGGGGACACUGGCAAUUGGCAGGAAGAUGUCUUUGGAAGGCCAUAUGUUCAUUUCCAAGGAAUGUAAGAAGAUCAGUUCCUCUUCACUGAGAGUAACUGUAGUAAGACUGGGUGCACUUUACCUCUUCCAGCACGGGGAAUUGGCAACUUCUCUCUACUUUCUUUUUUUAAAUAUUGUAAAAAUUAAAUAAUCUCAGCAGAAAUAAAAUUAGUUGUUAAAAGCAUGAUUAUCUCUGAGUUGUAUGAAGAACCACAAAUAAUAAAA